rnacentral:rRNA from 1 species
GGGUCAGUAGGUUGGUCGUGCCACCGGUACGUACUGGUCUCACUGAUUCCUCCUUCCUGAAGAACCGUAAUGCCAUUAAUUUGGUGUUGCGGGGAAACAGGACUGUUACUUUGAAAAAAUUAGAGUGUUUAAAGCAUGCUAACGCUUGAAUACAUUAGCAUGGAAUAAUGAAAUAGGACGAUCGAUCCUAUUUUGUUGGUUUCUAGGAUUGACGUA